UUUGGAGGAGUAACAGGGCUAAAAUGAUGCUGUAUGUGCUGUAUACACAGUGUCCUGUCCUCAGCUCGAACCACUCGUCAGCUUUGGCAAACACUGGGUCAAGAGUUGCUGAAGAAACCAUCUGUUAUACGUGAAGUCAUUUUUAUUUAUUUAGGCCAAAAUAUGUCUCAGAGGGUUUACAGUUUGAUAUCCUCUAUCCUCAGACCUCUUGUGAUACAAUAUACAACACAAUGCAACACACUUAUAAAUGGUUAUGAAAGAGAAAAUAUAAUUUGAAUAGAAAUUAAGUGAUAUGUUGUUGUUUCAAGUGGAUUACUUUGGCAGUCAGUGGUAGUUCUGACCUCACUGCAGUUCUUGGGUAAGUAAGUAGUGGAAUAUAAGUCUUUGGCUGAUGGUAUGAUGGUUGAACGUGAUUACAAAGCAAGUUUUAUUUUUUCUGCUAACUCACAUUAGUCUCCUUUCAGCUGGAGGUCAUAGAGGGGACACCUGACCUCGGGGUGACUUCAUAUUGGACUGACGCAGAAGGAAAUGUGGUGUUUGGCCCAAACACCCCGCAGGAGAAGAUGAAAACACCGGUUACUGGAACGAAAAUGCAGAAGCGAAAAGAAUCUGUGGGUAAAAUACCUCUGGUGGAAAAGGAGAAAGACAAAAAGAAGAGCAAGGAGUCAGAGGAGCAGAAAAAUGAGAUUACAGCUGAUGUCGCUGCAGAACCCAGAUCCUCAGAUUCGAAGAAAACAGAGGAUAUAAAAGUAAAUUUGGCCGAUCAGUUAGAAGCCUGUGAACAGCCUGCAGACAGAGUGGAGGAGCCUGAGCCAGAGGCUGAGACCUCACAGGAAACACAGCCAGAAAACAUUGAGUAAAUGUAGCAGAGAAAAGUAUGAAGUCAUCACCACAUAUCCUCCAAGUUUGAUGUGCACUUUUAUGUCUACUGUACUACUCAAAUAUUAAUGAUAAUAUUCCAUCUGUGCUAAUGGAGCUAAUAAUGCUAUCUAUCAGUGUAUUACAUUUAAGCUUUUAAUAACCAGAGUCAAGACUGUUUCUACGGUUUGCCUCUUUUUAAUGUGGAUGUUUUGUCUGCCAUGUUUAUCUUUUUCAUCAUAUUUGCUCUAAUAAAGAAGCUGUUGAAAUAUU